rnacentral:rRNA from 1 species
CCUACGGGAGGCAGCAGUGAGGAAUAUUGGGCAAUGCCCGCAAGGGUGACCCAGCAACGCCGCGUGGAGGAUGAAUGCCGUAAGGUUGUAAACUCCUGUGAGAAGGGAAGAAAGUGCGGAAUCGAAUUCCGCUUUGACUGUACCUUCAGAGGAAACCCCGGCUAACUACGUGCCAGCAGCCGCGGUAAUA